GAUGAACGCUAGCGGCAGGCUUAAUACAUGCAAGUCGAGGGACAGCACAGGUAGCAAUACUGGGUGGUAACCGGCAAACGGGUGCGGAACACGUACACAACCUUCCUUUAAGUGGGGGAUAGCCCAGAGAAAUUUGGAUUAAUACCCCGUAAUAUAGUUUGAUGGCAUCAUCGGACUAUUAUAGCUACGGCGCUUAACGAUGGGUGUGCGGCUGAUUAGAUAGUUGGCGGGGUAACGGCCCACCAAGUCUACGAUCAGUAGCUGAUGUGAGAGCAUGAUCAGCCACACGGGCACUGAGACACGGGCCCGUCUCCUACGGGAGGCAGCAGUAAGGAAUAUUGGUCAAUGGACGCAAGUCUGAACCAGCCAUGCCGCGUGAAGGAUUAAGGCCCUCUGGAUUGUAAACUUCUUUUAUUUGGGACGAAAAAGGGUCUUUCUAGACCAACUGACGGUACCAGAUGAAUAAGCACCGGCUAACUCCGUGCCAGCCGCCGCCGUAAAAC
rnacentral:rRNA from 1 species